CCAACUGUGUUCCAGUGUUCUUGAUGAACUCAUUUUAAAAUAACAGUCUCGAUCCACUGUACUAAUUCCCUUCAUAAUUUUAAACACUUCACUCAGGUCUCCUCUUCAUCUCCUUUAAAGGCUCAGCUCUUUUCAUUUUUCCUCAUAACUCAUCCCCUGUAGCCCCUCAAUCAGCCCAGUCGCUCUUCUCUGGACAUUUUCUAGUGCUGUUAUGUCCUUUUUGUAGCCUGGAGACCAAAACUGCCUGCAGUACUCCAGAUGAGGCCUCACCAGUGUGUUAUAAAGCUUCACAGAACCUCCUGUGACUUGUACUCCACACAUCAAGGCGCUAUAUAACCUGACAUUCUGUUAGCCUUCUUAAUGGCUUCUGAACACUGUCUGGACAUUGAUAGUGUCAUAAUUUUAAACACUUCAAUCAGGUCUCCUCUUCAUCUCCUUUAAAGGCUCAGCUCUUUUCAUCUUUCCUCAUAACUCAUCCCCUGUAGCCCCUCAAUCAGUCCAGUCGCUCUUCUCUGGACCUUUUCUAGUGCUGUUAUGUC